rnacentral:rRNA from 1 species
AUUGAACGCUGGCGGCAUGCUUUACACAUGCAAGUCGGACGGCAGCACAGAGAAGCUUGCUUCUUGGGUGGCGAGUGGCGAACGGGUGAGUAACAUAUCGGAACGUACCGAGUAAUGGGGGAUAACUAAUCGAAAGAUUAGCUAAUACCGCAUAUUCUCUGAGGAGGAAAGCAGGGGACCUUUUGGCCUUGCGUUAUUCGAGCGGCCGAUAUCUGAUUAGCUAGUUGGUGGGGUAAAGGCCUACCAAGGCGACGAUCAGUAGCGGGUCUGAGAGGAUGAUCCGCCACACUGGGACUGAGACACGGCCCAGACUCCUACGGGAGGCAGCAGUGGGGAAUUUUGGACAAUGGGCGCAAGCCUGAUCCAGCCAUGCCGCGUGUCUGAAGAAGGCCUUCGGGUUGUAAAGGACUUUUGUCAGGGAAGAAAAGGCUGUUGCUAAUAUCGACAGCUGAUGACGGUACCUGAAGAAUAAGCACCGGCUAACUACGUGCCAGCAGCCGCGGUAAUACGUAGGGUGCGAGCGUUAAUCGGAAUUACUGGGCGUAAAGCGAGCGCAGACGGUUACUUAAGCAGGGUGUGAAAUCCCCGGGCUCAACCUGGGAACUGCGUUCUGAACUGGGUGACUAGAGUGUGUCAGAGGGAGGUAGAAUUCCACGUGUAGCAGUGAAAUGCGUAGAGAUGUGGAGGAAUACCGAUGGCGAAGGCAGCCUCCUGGGAUAACACUGACGUUCAUGCUCGAAAGCGUGGGUAGCAAACAGG